rnacentral:rRNA from 1 species
CCUACGGGGAGCAGCAGUGGGGGAUAUUGCACAAUGGGGGGAACCCUGAUGCAGCGACGCCGCGUGGGUGAAGGAGCGUUUCGGCGCGUAAAGCCCUAUCGGCAGGGAAGAAGGAGGACGGUACCUGACUAAGAAGCCCCGGCUAACUACGUGCCAGCAGCCGCGGGAAUACGUAGGGGGCAAGCGUUAUCCGGAUUUACUGGGUGUAAAGGGGGCGCAGACGGCAGCGCAAGCCAGGAGUGAAAGCCCGGGGCCCAACCGCGGGACUGCAUUGGGAACUACCGGGCUGGAGUGCCGGAGAGGUAGGCGGAAUUCCUAGUGUAGCGGUGAAAUGCGUAGAUAUUAGGAGGAACACCAGUGGCGAAGGCGGCCUACUGGACGGUGACUGACGCUGAGGCUCGAAAGCGUGGGGAGCAAACAGGAGUAGAUACCCUGGUAGUC